UACACAGCCUGGAUCCUUAAUUUUAACAACUUUAUUGAACAACACAUAUAUUACUUAUUUAUUUAUUAUGAUUUUAACUUCAUGUUUUACGCACUUUGGCUAUAUCCAUGACAGGACAGGUAGUUAGUUACUGGUUACACAAGAUUCAUCAGUUCAAGUUUAAUGUCAAACACAGUCAUGGACACUUUGUAUCAGUUCACCUCACUCGCACGUCUUUGGACUGUGGGAGGAAACCGGAGCUUCCAGAGGAAACCCACGAAGACACGGGGAGAACAUGCAAACAGGUGGGCUUACCGUUUAGUACAGUGGGUUAAGUGUCAGGACGUUACAGACGAGACUAGACGAGACGGACCGGCAUGGCGUGGGUUCGAAACUCACGAGCGCCAACUACCGUUUAGCGGUGGUGUGUCCAAAGAAGACUAAGAGAGUCCUGAUAUCUGUACUUACGGAUUUAAUAGUACUAACGUGCCCUGACUCACGCAGCUCUGCGAGCCAACUCUUCAGAUCAUCAAGGCUGGAUUUAAGCCGGGUCUCCUCAAGGCUAACAUUCAGCCGACACUUGCUAUGAAAGAUGUAAAGGGGAUCCACUGUCUCCAACUUAAUCUUCAUGCUCAGCUGCUGCAGCACCCACAGGAAGUUAAUCAUGAAGCCGUCUGUGGACACUAGCUUAUCAUCUGUCUGUAGCCAAAACAAGGAAAAGUGAUUUGUAAUUGAGUAAACUCUUGCUGUUCCUUUAAUAAGAUGUAAACAAAUUUCACAAAUUAAAAACGGUGUAAAAGGACCCACAAUUCA